rnacentral:rRNA from 1 species
UACGGGGGGGGCAAGCGUUGUUCGGAAUUACUGGGCGUAAAGGGCUCGUAGGUGGCCAACUAAGUCAGACGUGAAAUCCCUCGGCUUAACCGGGGAACUGCGUCUGAUACUGGAUGGCUUGAGUUUGGGAGAGGAAUGCGGAAUUCCAGGUGUAGCGGUGAAAUGCGUAGAUAUCUGGAGGAACACCGGUGGCGAAGGCGGCAUUCUGGACCAAUACUGACGCUGAGGAGCGAAAGCCAGGGUAGCGAACGGG